CCAGGAGCCACCGCCCAUGAGGCCCUUCCUGCAGGCUCCUCCCGGCCUGGCAGCCUCAGUGACUUGGGAGGGGUCAGGCCCAGGGCUGAACAGGCCAGGGCUUACCCACACCCCUGUCACCUGCCGUGUGACCCAGGACCAUGACUCUACCUCUUGGUGCCUGUCUCCUUUCCCUUGGGAGGGUGAGUGCCAAUGGCUGUGGCACCCACAUCACCCGUUCUGGGGGCCACGGCACUCUGGGUUUCUCAGACCCCCAGCUCCCCAGCUCCCCUUCUCCAUGGGGCCACCUCUCACCCCAGCCCUGCCUGCCUAGUCUGCCACCAACUUCAGGCCUCAGCACAAAUGUCCCUCCCUCGGGGAUGCCUUCCCAGACAGGAUGAAACCGAGGCAUAGAGUGGUGGGCAGAAGACCACUCCAAGAGUGAGCGAUGGUGGGACUGGAACCUCAGGGGCCUCAGACGGCUGUCACCUGCUGCAGCUGCACAGGCACAGAGCCCAGGGGCCAUGGCGAAAAUGGACCUCUCCUUCAGGCCCUCCAGGAACAGGGCCACCAGCUCAGCGAUGGCCACACUGCUGGGUGACACAAACUCGUACUC
rnacentral:lncRNA from 10 species